rnacentral:rRNA from 1 species
UACGAAGGGGGCUAGCGUUGCUCGGAAUUACUGGGCGUAAAGCGCACGUAGGCGGCUUUCUAAGUCGGGGGUGAAAUCCUGGAGCUCAACUCCAGAACUGCCUUCGAUACUGGAGAGCUUGAGUCCGGGAGAGGUGAGUGGAACUGCGAGUGUAGAGGUGAAAUUCGUAGAUAUUCGCAAGAACACCAGUGGCGAAGGCGGCUCACUGGCCCGAUACUGACGCUGAGGCACGAAAGCGUGGGGAGCGAACAGG